rnacentral:rRNA from 2 species
CUUAAAUUGAAGAGUUUGAUCAUGGCUCAGAUUGAACGCUGGCGGCAGGCCUAACACAUGCAAGUCGAGCGGUAGCACAGAAGAGCUUGCUCUUUGGGUGACGAGCGGCGGACGGGUGAGUAAUGUCUGGGAAACUGCCUGAUGGAGGGGGAUAACUACUGGAAACGGUAGCUAAUACCGCAUAACCUCGCAAGAGCAAAGAGGGGGACCUUCGGGCCUCUCGCCAUCAGAUGUGCCCAGAUGGGAUUAGCUAGUAGGUGAGGUAAUGGCUCACCUAGGCGACGAUCCCUAGCUGGUCUGAGAGGAUGACCAGCCACACUGGAACUGAGACACGGUCCAGACUCCUACGGGAGGCAGCAGUGGGGAAUAUUGCACAAUGGGCGCAAGCCUGAUGCAGCCAUGCCGCGUGUGUGAAGAAGGCCUUCGGGUUGUAAAGCACUUUCAGCGGGGAGGAAGGCGGUAAGGUUAAUAACCUUAUCGAUUGACGUUACCCGCAGAAGAAGCACCGGCUAACUCCGUGCCAGCAGCCGCGGUAAUACGGAGGGUGCAAGCGUUAAUCGGAAUGACUGGGCGUAAAGCGCACGCAGGCGGUCUGUUAAGUUGGAUGUGAAAUCCCCGGGCUUAACCUGGGAACUGCAUUCAAAACUGACAGGCUAGAGUCUUGUAGAGGGGGGUAGAAUUCCAGGUGUAGCGGUGAAAUGCGUAGAGAUCUGGAGGAAUACCGGUGGCGAAGGCGGCCCCCUGGACAAAGACUGACGCUCAGGUGCGAAAGCGUGGGGAGCAAACAGGAUUAGAUACCCUGGUAGUCCACGCUGUAAACGAUGUCGAUUUGGAGGUUGUGCCCUUGAGGCGUGGCUUCCGGAGCUAACGCGUUAAAUCGACCGCCUGGGGAGUACGGCCGCAAGGUUAAAACUCAAAUGAAUUGACGGGGGCCCGCACAAGCGGUGGAGCAUGUGGUUUAAUUCGAUGCAACGCGAAGAACCUUACCUACUCUUGACAUCCAGAGAAUUUGCUAGAGAUAGCUUAGUGCCUUCGGGAACUCUGAGACAGGUGCUGCAUGGCUGUCGUCAGCUCGUGUUGUGAAAUGUUGGGUUAAGUCCCGCAACGAGCGCAACCCUUAUCCUUUGUUGCCAGCGAUUCGGUCGGGAACUCAAAGGAGACUGCCGGUGAUAAACCGGAGGAAGGUGGGGAUGACGUCAAGUCAUCAUGGCCCUUACGAGUAGGGCUACACACGUGCUACAAUGGCGUAUACAAAGAGAAGCGACCUCGCGAGAGCAAGCGGACCUCAUAAAGUACGUCGUAGUCCGGAUUGGAGUCUGCAACUCGACUCCAUGAAGUCGGAAUCGCUAGUAAUCGUAGAUCAGAAUGCUACGGUGAAUACGUUCCCGGGCCUUGUACACACCGCCCGUCACACCAUGGGAGUGGGUUGCAAAAGAAGUAGGUAGCUUAACCUUCGGGAGGGCGCUUACCACUUUGUGAUUCAUGACUGGGGUGAAGUCGUAACAAGGUAACCGUAGGGGAACCUGCGGUUGGAUCACCUCCUUACCAAGAAG